GAUGAACGCUGGCGGCGUGCCUAAUACAUGCAAGUCGAGCGAACGGACGAGAAGCUUGCUUCUCUGAUGUUAGCGGCGGACGGGUGAGUAACACGUGGAUAACCUACCUAUAAGACUGGGAUAACUUCGGGAAACCGGAGCUAAUACCGGAUAAUAUUUUGAACCGCAUGGUUCAAAAGUGAAAGACGGUCUUGCUGUCACUUAUAGAUGGAUCCGCGCUGCAUUAGCUAGUUGGUAAGGUAACGGCUUACCAAGGCAACGAUGCAUAGCCGACCUGAGAGGGUGAUCGGCCACACUGGAACUGAGACACGGUCCAGACUCCUACGGGAGGCAGCAGUAGGGAAUCUUCCGCAAUGGGCGAAAGCCUGACGGAGCAACGCCGCGUGAGUGAUGAAGGCCUUCGGAUCGUAAAACUCUGUUAUUAGGGAAGAACAUAUGUGUAAGUAACUGUGCACUUCUUGACGGUACCUAAUCAGAAAGCCACGGCUAACUACGUG
rnacentral:rRNA from 1 species